CUCACUUUGAAAACCGCCACUGCCGCUCAGGGACUCACCCCAGGUGGCACGUGGCUGAGCUGAGCUAGGGGAGGGGCGGUUGCACCCAGAGCGGGGCAGGGGCCAGCAGGUCCGGGACCGGCGGGGCGUGCACCCGUGCACCAAACAAAGCCGAGCCUCUUCCUGGCCAGGCUCAAGUUCCGCACCUGCCUCCUCCUGGGAUGCGACCGGGAAACAGCAGCGGUACCGCGGGGCUGCCACUGGAGGGAGCUAGGCCCAGCGCACAAGGGACCCAGACCCCAGACCCCUGAAGGGGGCCCAGGCCUCCUGCAGCCUCCCUGGAGCCUAAGCCUGGGGUGCGCACAGGUCGCUCUGCCCGUCCCCCCCCUUCAGAAGCCAGGAGGGCGGCAGGUGACAUUCGACUACUCUGCCGGUGGUUUACAGACCCACAUGGAGCCGACACACAGAUGCCCCAUCUCCUGGGAAGUCCAGGCUGCAAGCUCUUACCCACCAUUGUACAGGUGAGGGAGGUGAGGCCCAGGAAAGAGAGUUGCCACUCAGUGGGGUCCCCCUCACCCUAGGACUCAGCAGGCAGAAGAGGCGAUUUUGGCAUGGAAGCAGCCUCUGCAGGGGUCAGCGCCUGCCCCUCCCCGACUCCUGCACUCCUACUCAUUUGUCAUGGCCGCAUCUCACAGUAACGGUGAGGGUUAAGUGGGAGAACACACAGGUGCUCAGAGGAGAUAUGCUGUUAUCACUGGUGGGGCUCCUGGGAGCGUCCCCAGCCAGACACCAGCCAGUGCUCAUCUCUGCUGAAACAGCCUGGCCCUGGCCUUGCCCCUGCCCUGGGUGCUCUCCUCCACCGCUGCUGUGGUGCACGCGUGUGGCUCAUCACACGCUCCUGUGUACUCUCGCACAUGCCAGGGCUGGCAGGACAUGAAAGGAGGCGGCACCUGGCUGGAGACUGCUACACACAGCCUGGGGGCACGGGUUAAACAAGAAAAUCCGCCUUAUGCAGAUGCGUGUGUCUCCACGUUUGUACAAUGGAUGCAGGUGUAUUUUUAAAAGUAGACAUUUUGGGUUGUUGCUUUGCCUUGCUUUGUUUUGGAAUAGGAUAACUUGAUCCUAAAAUUCAUUCAGAAAAACAAACACAGAGAAACAGCCAGAAAAAUGCUGAAGAAGAAGAAUGAGGUGGGGGGACUGGACCACCAGAUACAACAUGCCGUUGCACAAGCUGCUGACCGGCAGUGGAGCACAGCGGAAAUGCCUGGACCAGAUUCUAAGAUCAUAGGAACUGUGUAGCAGAAAGCAGUGACACCUAAGGCAAGGCAGAAGGGCAGUGUCCAAAAAUGUCUUAGGACAACUAGGUAACAACCAGUCCAUGCUUCACACCUUAAACCAGGCUAAGUUCUGAAGGGGUCGAAGAUUUAAAUGGGAAAAGUGAAACCACAGAUGUUCUAGGGGAAAACCUGAGAACAUUCCUUUAAAAUGCUAAGAUAGAAGUUCUUUCUACGAAUCAAAGUCUAAAACCCAUAAGUGAAAAGAUUGAUAAAUUUGACAACAAAGUAUAAAAUAUGUCUCCACAGAGAAAGUCACAAGGAAAGGCAAAAAAAUAAAUAACAAACUGAGAAAAAUAUAUCUGCAGCUCUUGUUACAAAGGGCUAAUCUCCAAUACAGGAAGAGUUCACAGAAAUUAAAAGGAAAACAUAAUACUCAAUAGAAAAAUAGGCAAGGGCUGUGGCUGACAGUUCAUAAACAGGAGGUACAAUGACUCCUGAACAUCUGACAAGAUGCUCAACAUCGCCCAUCAGGAGACAAAUAUAAAUGAACCCCCAGAGACACCUGACUUUUCACCUGUCAGGGCGCUGAGACGGUGGGAACAGGUACUCCCACACUUUGCUGAUGGAAGUACAAACUGCCACAAUGUCUACGGAGGCUGACUUGGCAAUAACUAUCCAAGUGACAGAUGUGCGUAUCCUCUGAACUCACAACUCGGGGGAGCUAUCUUACAGACACACCUGCACGCCUGCAAGAUGGGAUGUGUGCCUGACUACGCGGGGCGGUGCAGCAAAAGCCUCAAAACAAUUCAUGCCCUUCCAGGGCCCGUUACCUAAAUUGAACAGACACCCGUAAGACACAAUCCUGUGAAGAAGGAGUGGAACACGUUCUGAACUGAGACGGAAAGGUCUCUGAGGGACAGCGCUGAGUGAGAAAAGCAAGGUCCUGAGCAGAACGCGCGGUCAGGAGGCUGAGUACUGCGUGCACACCCAUGCACGUCUGCCUGUGUCUGCAGAGGUGCUCUGGGGGGGCAUCUGAGAACCUGGAGCCGAGGAUGGUGGGGGCAGAGAGCUGAGCGCACAGAGGGCAAGGGGGACUUGGAGAACUUUCCUUGGGAGAUGACUUAAACCCCCGGAUUUUGAAACACACAGUGCAUUUACCUAUUCAAAAAAUUAAAAACAAAUCUGUAGCAAACUAGGAAA